AUCAUUGUCUAUGGCCAUACCACCCUGAACACGCCUGAUCUUGUCUGAUCUCAGAAGCUAAGCAGGGUCGGGCCUGGUUAGUACUUGGAUGGG
rnacentral:miRNA from 1 species